GUACUUUUGAAGCUGUAAACCCAAUUUUCUCCCUCUUCCUCUUUCAAAUGGAGCAGGAGCCACAGAGUAAGGAUCAAUCUUCACGAAACCCAAACCCGCUAUGCGAAGAGUGCAAGGAGAACCCAUCAAAGUACAAAUGCCCAGGCUGCUCUAUUCGCUCUUGCAGCCUCCCUUGUGUCAAAGCUCACAAGCAACGCACUGGCUGCUUGGGAAAGCGGCUUCAGACCCAGUUCGUCCCUCUAUCUCAAUUCAAUGAUAAUCUCCUCUUAUCUGAUUAUAAUUUGCUUGAGGAAAUGAAGAGGGUUGCUGAAUCUGCUCAGAGAAUGAGAACAAAAUUGUGUGCAUAUCCUCAAUUUAGGUUACCGGCUCAUCUUCGAAGCCUUAAGGGUGCUGCUGCAGGCCGGAGAACAAAGCUUCUUUUUCUCCCAAGUGGAAUGUCAAAGAGGGAGAAGAAUCAAUCUCGUUACAACCAAAGGAAGAAAUUUAUAUCUUGGACAAUUGAGUGGCGAUUUCACUCCACAGAUGUUAUUUUGCUUGACCAUGGAGUACAUGAAGACACAUACCUCUGCUCUGUAAUUGAGAAGCAUCUAAAGCCUGGACCAUGGAACCAUCAACUAAGGCAAUUCUGUGAUGAGCAUCUGGACUCUCUUAAGUUUUUAAUCCGUAAAUAUCCAAAGGGACCCAAGUCACCUUUCUAUGAGCUGGACAUAAAGGCCCCAUUAAAGCAACAACUAGCCAAUGUUGUUAUUUUGGAGUACCCUGUAAUUUAUGUUUUCCUCCCUUCACACAGUUAUGAUUUUGAAGUUGUCAAAGAUGUGAAACCUGUCACUAAUAGACCAGAAUCUAAGAAUUCUGUUCACAAUGAUGAGCCAAGCCCAAAAGGUGUUGCCUUCAGGGAGGAGGAAAUAGAAGAAAACGAUGACUCCUCAAAUCCUCAGGUUUAUGAUUUCCUGAAAAAUGUAAUUUUGAGUCCGUUACAUGAAAUCCCUCAUCAUAGCAUAUCUGAGAACACAUUAUGUGAGCAAUCUGAUGCCUUGGCAAGAGAGGCAGCAAGCAAUAAUUCACAUUACAAUUCCCAGACCAUGGAACCAGGAAUUUUUGAGGCUAUGGACUUUGAUUUUGAUCAAGGCUUGAUGGAUGCCUACUCGGAUCUCAUUGGACAAGUCAAUCCUGAUGACUUUCUUGAUUUGGAAGGUGAAUUUCCCAAGGAAGAGAGGUUAGAAGAAAGGAAAGAUUUUUGGAAUUCCAGGGCAACUUCAUUAGUGCAAGAGGAAUUAGAAGAAGGGGAAAUUGUGGAGUAAUUGGUAUGCUGGUUUUGAAUUGGACUUUGAUGGGUGGAAUUUAAAGGAACAGCUCAUGAAAAUUACUUCGCAAUUCCAGAUUCAAUUUUUUUCAGUUCCCGUGAUACCAGUAGUAGUGGUUAUGAAUCAGAGUCCAUUGUCUUUAUGGUAAGGCGCACAUUCUUCCCCUCAUAUGAAGUCUAUGGAUGCUAUUUGAUAUGCAUUGGUAUCAGUUGGAACAUAUGAUUUUGAUACCAGCCGUCUUAUGUUCAUGUUUCCAACUUCUGAAACUGGCUACCAGCCUUCCCAAUAUGCAUCCAAGCUAAGCUACUUCUGUAAUGAAACUAAGAUGUUUAUCAUCUUUUAUCCCUUGCUGUUGGAUGGUAAAGCUAUUUUGUGCAUUUUGAUUGCAGAACUUAAUGGUAUAAAGCACUUCGCUGGCAUUUUU
rnacentral:misc_RNA from 1 species